UACGGGAGGCAGCAGUAGGGAAUCUUCCGCAAUGGACGAAAGUCUGACGGAGCAACGCCGCGUGAGUGAUGAAGGCUUUCGGGUCGUAAAACUCUGUUGUUAGGGAAGAACAAGUACAAGAGUAACUGCUUGUACCUUGGCGGUACCUAACCAGAAAGCCACGGCUAACUACGUGCCAGCAGCCGCGGUAAUACGUAGGUGGCAAGCGUUAUCCGGAAUUAUUGGGCGUAAAGCGCGCGCAGGCGGUUUCUUAAGUCUGAUGUGAAAGCCCACGGCUCAACCGUGGAGGGUCAUUGGAAACUGGGGAACUUGAGUGCAGAAGAGAAAAGCGGAAUUCCACGUGUAGCGGUGAAAUGCGUAGAGAUGUGGAGGAACACCAGUGGCGAAGGCGGCUUUUUGGUCUGUAACUGACGCUGAGGCGCGAAAGCGUGGGGAGCAAACAAGAUUAGAUACCCUGGUAGUCCACGCCGUAAACGAUGAGUGCUAAGUGUUAGAGGGUUUCCGCCCUUUAGUGCUGCAGCUAACGCAUUAAGCACUCCGCCUGGGGAGUACGGUCGCAAGACUGAAACUCAAAGGAAUUGACGGGGGCCCGCACAAGCGGUGGAGCAUGUGGUUUAAUUCGAAGCAACGCGAAGAACCUUACCAGGUCUUGACAUCCUCUGACAACUCUAGAGAUAGAGCGUUCCCCUUCGGGGGACAGAGUGACAGGUGGUGCAUGGU
rnacentral:rRNA from 1 species